rnacentral:rRNA from 1 species
UGGGGAAUAUUGGACAAUGGGGGCAACCCUGAUCCAGCGAUGCCGCGUGAGUGAAGAAGGCCUUCGGGUUGUAAAACUCUUUCACCUGUGAAGAUAAUGACGGUAGCAGGAGAAGAAGCACCGGCAAACUCUGUGCCAGCAGCCGCGGUAAUACAGAGGGUGCUAGCGUUGUUCGGAAUGACUGGGCGUAAAGGGCGCGUAGGCGGUUUAUCAAGUCAGAUGUGAAAGCCCCGGGCUUAACCUGGGAACGGCAUUUGAUACUGGUUGACUGGAGUACGAGAGAGGAAAGUGGAAUUCCUAGUGUAGAGGUGAAAUUCGUAGAUAUUAGGAGGAACACCAGAGGCGAAGGCGGCUUUCUGGCUCGUAACUGACGCUGAGGCGCGAAAGCGUGGGGAGCAAACA